AUCUAAGGAGAAUGGUUGGAUUAAUCUCCAGCUUGUAUGACAGUGGUUUAAAGUUUCUUUAAAUUGAACAAAUUUUGUUAUUAACUCGAAUAGACAUAAUUUGUUAAUGUGACAAUAAGUGGGAUCCAGCAGCAAAUAUAUUGCAAACAUACAUUGCAAAUAUGUAAACACAAUAGACUUACAAAAUCUAAAUGAACCAACAAUAAAAGUGUGUGUGGUAGGGUGAA
rnacentral:lncRNA from 1 species